rnacentral:rRNA from 1 species
UACGGGGGGGGCAAGCGUUGUUCGGAAUUACUGGGCGUAAAGGGUUCGUAGGUGGCUUGCUAAGUCAGACGUGAAAUCCCUCAGCUUAACUGGGGAACUGCGUCUGAGACUGGUGAGCUUGAGUGCAGGAGAGGAACGCGGAAUUCCAGGUGUAGCGGUGAAAUGCGUAGAUAUCUGGAGGAACACCGGUGGCGAAGGCGGCGUUCUGGACUGCUACUGACACUGAGGAGCGAAAGCAUGGGGAGCGAACAGG